rnacentral:rRNA from 1 species
AUUGAACGCUGGCGGCAUGCUUUACACAUGCAAGUCGAACGGUAACAGGGUGCUUGCACCGCUGACGAGUGGCGAACGGGUGAGUAAUGCGUCGGAACGUGCCGAGUAGUGGGGGAUAACGCAGCGAAUGUUGUGCUAAUACCGCAUACGUACUGAGGUAGAAAGUGGGGGACCUUCGGGCCUCACGCUAUUCGAGCGGCCGACGUCUGAUUAGGUAAUAGGUGAGGUAAAGGCUCACCUAGGCGACGAUCCGUAGCAGGUCUGAGAGGAGGAUCCGCCACACUGGGACUGAGACACCGCCCAGACUCCUACGGGAGGCAGCAGUGGGGAAUUUUGGAAAAUGGGGGGAAGCCUGAUCCAGCCACGCCGCGUGUCUGAAGAAGGCCUUCGGGUUGUAAAAGACUUUUGUUAGGGAAGAAAACCCUAGUGAUUAAAACCCUGGGGGAUGACAGUACCUGAAGAAUAAGCACCGGCUAACUACGUGCCAGCAGCCGCAGUAA